CAGCAUUCCAUUUAGGUCAAUGCUUUUUCUGUUUGCCUUCAAUUUGCAACACUCCUCCAGACUUGUUUGCGGCCAAAAGCACAAAAAUGCCCAUCAUGUAAAAAUCCUACCAUAAAGCCGCCAUAAUUUUUGUAUGUGAUGUCCUUUAUGUUGUCGGCUGUUAUUUGGGCAGUUGAUUAUCGCAAUGGAUGCGUUUUUAUGUCCAUCCGAGAGAUGACUGUUGGCCUUUGAGGCAAUGAAAUCUGUUCAGCUUCUGCUGCGAGCACUAACAGCUCAGAGUUAAUUCCAAUUUCCAACUUUAUGCAGAUAAAUAACUGCAGCCCACAAGAAAAGAGACACGUUUCGAAUAGACGACGAACUGUUGCCCCCCGCUGCCGUAGUUUGUCUGGUUUAUAUUGAAUCUAGUUGGUGGCAUAUUGCGAUGGCUGUUG
rnacentral:sRNA from 1 species